rfam:Sporomusa sphaeroides DSM 2875 SPSPH_contig000001, whole genome shotgun sequence.
UCCGCCGUGAGGCGGAAUCUGAAGUAAGCCUAAUGCAAACCCUUGGUCUGACGAAUAGAAACUACAUAUAAGGCAUAUGCAGGGAGGACGAGUUUGCUAACUAAAACAAAGUCCAAUACUGCCCGAACCCUGUGGUGUAAAUGUAGCAGAUAUAUGAGGGGAAGGUUAUCGCU